ensembl:lncRNA
AGUGAGCAGCAGAGUGGUACUGAGCUGCCUGCUGGGUUAACCACAGCAGGAAGUGUGUAGAGGUAAUCCUAUCACUGAUACAUGCUGUUAUGGAAGACAAUCAAUGCACUCCAAAACAAGGUUUCAGCAGAGAGGCAGUCUGACCAAAUGACAUCUGAUGUGGAAGUGCGCAUGAAGCAAAGGUGUGUCAUUGAAUUCCUCCAUGUGGAAAAAAUGGCAUCCAUUGACAUUUAUCUAUGCUUGCUGAGUGUUUAUGGAGACCAAACAGUGGAUGAGCACAGUAAAGUGGUGGGUGGUGUGUUUCAACAGUGGCUGAAAGUGAUGUGAAAGAUAAGGCACGUUCAGGACAGCUACGAAAUCAAGAACAUCUCAAUCAACUCAUAUGUGCAGAUUGGUGG